rnacentral:rRNA from 1 species
UACGCGGGGGGCGAGCGUUGUUCGGCAUUAUUGGGCGUAAAGGGCGCGUAGGCGGUCGGAUAAGUCUUGUGUGAAAUCUUCGGGCUCAACUCGAAGUCUGCACAGGAAACUAUCUGGCUUGAGUGUGGGAGAGGUGAGUGGAAUUCCUGGUGUAGCGGUGAAAUGCGUAGAUAUCAGGAGGAACACCUGUGGCGAAAGCGGCUCACUGGACCACAACUGACGCUGAGGCGCGAAAGCUAGGGGAGCAAACAGG